AUGCAGUCGAACGGUGCCGGACUUCGUUCUGCUGGCGAGUGCCUCGGGUAAGUCUGUAUCGGAACGUGCCCGUAGCGGGGGAUAACUACGCGAAAGCGUAGCUCUACCGCAUACGCCCUACGGGGGAAAGCAGGGGAUCGCAAGACCUUGCACUAUUGGAGCGGCCGAUAUCGGAUUAGCUAGUUGGUGGGGUAACGGCUCACCAAGGCGACGAUCCGUAGCUGGUUUGAGAGGACGACCAGCCACACUGGGACUGAGACACGGCCCAGACUCCAACGGGAGGCAGCAGUGGGGAAUUUUGGACAAUGGGGGAAACCCUGAUCCAGCCAUCCCGCGUGUGCGAUGAAGGCCUUCGGGUUGUAAAGCACUUUUGGCAGGAAAGAAACGUCGUGGGUUAAUACCCCGCGAAACUGACGGUACCUGCAGAAUAAGCACCGGCUAACUACGUGCCAGCAGCCGCGGUAAUACGUAGGGUGCAAGCGUUAAUCGGAAUUACUGGGCGUAAAGCGUGCGCAGGCGGUUCGGAAAGAAAGAUGUGAAAUCCCAGAGCUUAACUUUGGAACUGCAUUUUUAACUACCGGGCUAGAGUGUGUCAGAGGGAGGUGGAAUUCCGCGUGUAGCAGUGAAAUGCGUAGAUAUGCGGAGGAACACCGAUGGCGAAGGCAGCCUCCUGGGAUAACACUGACGCUCAUGCACGAAAGCGUGGGGAGCAAACAGGAUUAGAUACCCUGGUAGUCCACGCCCUAAACGAUGUCAACUAGCUGUUGGGGCCUUCGGGCCUUGG
rnacentral:rRNA from 1 species